GACACAUACUAUUUAUUCAUUGCACGCUGUGGCGAUUGUGGAUGGUUGCCUAUCUUUAGAGGGAGGAGCAAUAAUCAUUAGUAAUAUAGAAAUUAGUUGAAUAUUGGAGCAUAAGAAGGAAAAGAAAAUAUUGCAAAAAACAACAGUAAACUAACAAAACAAUGCAAGUUAGAAAAGUCGAUAGUUUCAAAAAAAAAUAUGACAGAAUAAUGGGCAAGG
rnacentral:lncRNA from 1 species